GACGAACGCUGGCGGCGUGCUUAACACAUGCAAGUCGAACGGUGAUGACAGGGCUUGCCCUGUCUGAUCAGUGGCGAACGGGUGGGUAACACGUGAGUAACCUGCCCCUGACUCUGGGAUAACCCCGGGAAACCGGAGCUAAUACCGGAUACGACACCGACCCGCAUGGGUACGGUGUGGAAAGUUUUUUCGGUCUGGGAUGGACUCGCGGCCUAUCAGCUUGUUGGUGAGGUAGUGGCUCACCAAGGCGACGACGGGUAGCCGGCCUGAGAGGGCGACCGGCCACACUGGGACUGAGACACGGCCCAGACUCCUACGGGAGGCAGCAGUGGGGAAUAUUGCACAAUGGGCGGAAGCCUGAUGCAGCGACGCCGCGUGAGGGAUGACGGCCUUCGGGUUGUAAACCUCUUUCAGCAGGGAAGAAGCGCAAGUGACGGUACCUGCAGAAGAAGCACCGGCUAACUACGUGCCAGCCGCCGCCGUAAGAC
rnacentral:rRNA from 1 species